UAAGGUCUUACAUCUUGCUGAAAAGUGUGACUAGAGAACAACUUCACCAUAACUCACCAAGCUUAAUCUGAGAUAAUUUCCCAAGAAGUACUGAGACUGUCACCAUGGUCUCAGCAGGACACUUUGGAGUUUAAACUAACUGAACUAGUUUUAUAUUAGAUGGAUUCAUUGAAAUUGAAUAUCACAAAAUCACUUUUGAAAAGUAAGCUGGGCUAAAACUGACUGAGAGUGCUGAAAAAAGUGGAACUUUUUUGUACUGUUUUUUUUCUAUUCACAAUAUCUGUCUCCAGGAAUAGGUAAUAAAUCCUCUAGAACCAUGGCACUGCUGGACACAGAGUUUGAGGUGAAGGGCAGCAGCAGCAUCAUCAGGGAGUGGAGUGGACAGGUCCAGCCAGCGCUGGUCGCCUCCUUGGUUUUCCUCUUCUGUCUUGAAGCCUGUCUGUGGGUCAGGAAUCUCAGACUCAAGAGAAGGCUGCCAGGACCUUUUGCCUGGCCGGUGGUGGGCAAUGCCAUGCAGCUGGGGCAGAUGCCUCAUAUCACCUUCUCCAAGCUGGCAAAGAAGUACGGCAACGUGUAUCAGAUAAGACUGGGCUGCAACAACAUAGUGGUGCUUAAUGGAGACACAGCAAUACGAGAAGCCUUGGUUCAGCACAGCACAGAGUUUGCAGGCAGACCUGACUUUGUGUCUUUUCGGAUGAUUUCAGGGGGCAGGAGCCUGACAUUCACUAACUACAGCAAACAGUGGAAAAUGCACCGGAGAAUUGCACAAUCUACCAUUAGAGCUUUCUCCUCCGCAAACAGCCAGACCAAGAAAGCAUUUGAGCAGCACGUUUUAGGAGAAUCUAUGGAUCUUGUGCAGGUAUUUCUGAGAAUGAGUGCUGAUGGACGAUAUUUUAAUCCCGCUCAUGAAUUUACAGUCGCUGCUGCAAAUGUAAUCUGUGCCCUGUGCUUUGGAAAACGUUAUGGCCAUGAUGAUAUUGAGUUUAGAACUCUCCUAGGCAAAAUGGACAAGUUUGGAGAGACGGUGGGGGCUGGCAGCUUGGUGGAUGUCAUGCCCUGGCUUCAGAAUUUCCCAAAUCCUGUCCGCAGCGUCUACCAGAAUUUCAAACACAUAAAUGAGGAGUUUUUUGCCUUUGUGAAAGACAAAGUGGUGCAGCACAGAGAAACCUUCAACCCUGAUGUGACCCGGGACAUGAGUGAUGCUAUCAUUAAUGUGAUUGAGCACGGAAAGGACAGUGGACUGACCAAAGACUUCACAGAAGGAACAGUCACAGACCUUAUUGGAGCCGGCCAAGACACAAUGUCAACCAUUUUACAAUGGAUUCUCCUGCUUUUGAUCAAAUACCCCAUCAUCCAAACCAAGCUGCAGGAGCAGAUUGACAAAGUGGUAGGCCGUGACAGGCUGCCCUGUAUUGAGGACAAAGCCAGCCUGGCUUACCUAGAUGCCGUUAUCUAUGAGACCAUGCGCUACACCAGCUUUGUACCCCUCACCAUCCCCCACUCCACCACCUCAGAUGUUACCAUCGAAGGCUUCCACAUCCCCAAAGACACAGUGGUCUUCAUCAACCAGUGGUCUGUCAACCACGACCCUUUACAGUGGAAGGACCCACAUCUCUUUGACCCUUCACGUUUCCUAGAUGAAAGCGGUGCCCUUGACAAGGACCGAACUAACAGCGUCAUGAUCUUCUCCACUGGUAAGAGGCGAUGUAUUGGCGACCAGAUUGCCAAAGUGGAAAUCUUUUUAUUUACAGCCAUCUUGCUUCACCAGUGUACCUUUGAGAGCAACCCCUCAGAGACCCUGACCCUUGGUUGUUCCUAUGGGCUCACACUGAAGCCUCUCCACUACACCAUCACAACCAAGCUCAGGGGGAAGCUGCUCGGUCUAGUGUCACCUGCAUAAAAAUCUCAUCCCAAUAUUGUGACUCAAGGCCAGCAGAAACUAUAAGUUUGCCAAGCAAUGAUAUUUUACAGUGAGUAUUAGUAAACAUGCACUGAAUGUUGUUGUUGAGUGUAAUAUUUCAUAUUUAAUAUUUAAUUCAUAUCUGAUCACAAUUUAAUAUGUUUGCAUUGUUGUUGAGACAGGAUUGAAAGUAUGAUUACAGUGAUGGAAAGUUUGCUAGGUAUAGCUUUUUCUCCUGUGUUGGGGGCCAGGGGUCAUGGGGUCAAUCAAUUUGAACAGGUUCUCAAACUAUGUACUUGAUAGUUUUCUUUAAGGAAGUAUACUUUUGUUUCAUAUACAUUUUGAGUUUUGGGCGUACUUCAUAUACAGUAUUCAGCAUGCUAACAUAUCAAAAUAUGUGCAGGAAACUAGAAUAUUCCUCAACAGUCAAUGGAAGGUUAUAUCAGUGUAAUAUGCCUGUGAGUGUUUGUGAAUGUUGUAGUCACACCUGAAGGACCACAGUUUGUUGCCUUGAGGACUUUGUGGAUGUCUGUUAUUAACAUGGUGAUGUUUCAAUGUAUUUAUCUUUUUCAGAUAAAGCUGUCACAAUUUUUUUUAUAUAUAUAUCUUUCAGGUAUGAACAAUAUUUGUUAAGUAUUAUAAUCAAAUUCACUAUCUACUGUACACCAUGCAUAUGAGCCCAUUGAAUACUGUUGACAGAUGCUGACGAACUGCUAAAGGAAAAGCAAGAUAUGUAUUUUCCAUAGCCUACCGUGUGAAGACAAUUCAGCGUUAACAGCACUGUUGCCUCUGUGCAACUUCACGCUCAGUGUCUCCAACAAUAUUUGGAGGUGUUUCAAUACAGAGGUGGGUUUCUACUGGAGUCUAGAAGUAUGGUACUGAUAAGGCUGAUGAACAGUUGGGAGAGGACCAAUUCUAAACACUGACCCUAUUGAUAUUCUCAGAAAUCUACUUUACUGAACAGGCACUCCAGCUACACAACCCAUCCCUUCAUAUCCAAACCAACUGUCACUAAAUACAAUAUUACUACACAAGUCAAUGGAGUUUCGAUGUAUUUUCAAAAAUGCAUGCAUGUUUAAACCUCAAGGCUCUGAAAUCUGUAGAUGUAAUGUCACCUUUGUCAAAGAACAUGUUUUCAGAAAUGUAUUAAAUAUUGUUCAGAAUAUCUGCCUCUCUCAAACCAAGAAACUCAACUACAACAUGUGUUGAAUGUCCAGGCAAGGAUUCAUGAAUGAAAAUAUGUUGUUUUGUUUGUUGGUUUGUUUGUUUUAUAUGAUUGAAAAAUAAGCUACAUCUGGAAUUAAUAAAGCAAUGUUUAAAUCAA